rnacentral:lncRNA from 1 species
AAUGUAGAAGUAAAAAUUAUGUAUGCAAUUUUCUAUGUUACAAAAACAGAUCCUAUGGUAUAGUGAAAAUCAUUGCUUUAGUAAGAUUAUUGAGUAAGCUUUUUUAAUAGAAUAGACUGUGCCCUGUCAAAAUCUUAGAAGGGUAAUCAAGUGAAUAUUGAGUGUUAGGUAUAUAUAAUUGUGUCUCUCCAAACAUGCCAGUACUUCAAAAUGUUACUACAUUUGGAGAUAGGGCUUGUAUGGAGGUCAUCAAGCUAAAGUGAGGUCUUUGGGGGUGGAUGUCACUCCAGUAUGAUUGGUGUUCUUAGAAAAUGGAGAAAUUUGGAUGCAGAGACAGGCAUACACAAGGAAAACACAAUGUGAAUAUAAAAACAAAAAUCAGGAUGAUGUUUCUGCAAGACAAGGAAUGCGAAGAACUGACAGCAAAUCAUUAAAAACCAGGAGAAGGGUCUGGAACGGAGUUUCCAUCAAGGUCUCAGAAGGAACCAAUUCUUCCAGCACCUUGAUCUUGCACUUCUAGCUUCCAGAACUAUGAAAUAAUGGGUUUCUGUUGUUGUAAGUCAAGCAGUUUAUGGUACUUUGUUAGAGCAGCCUUAGCAAACUAGUACAGAGAAGUCCAGAGGUAUUUAAUCUCUGAAAAAUAAUAUGAAAUGAUAUAACCAAGUCUGGUAUUUUUCAUUAUUGCAUGUCAUUGAUGUAAGGUAUGCUUUAGGAAAUACUUAAUUUCUGAAUCACAAACCCAAAGUGAUGAUUGUUGCAAAUCCAAAAUAAAGAAUAAGCUCAGUGCCUUCAAAUUUAGGGUUAUUGAAAUGUACAGAAUACCCACAAACUUAGUACAGAUCACACAAUAUAAGGAGAAAGCUCCUUACUACCAGAAAAACCUACACACCUUCAUUCAUCCAUUCAUCUUUUUAUCACUCAACAGAUAUUAU